ensembl:lncRNA
CGGAAGUCCUCCAAGUGCGGGGCUCGCUCUCUGGAGCGGGCAGUGGGUAGAUCUGGGUAGACUAAGUGGCCAGGAUGCCACCAGGGGAAGAUCACUCUUAAUAUUCGUCCUUAGCACCAGCAGCAGAAGUCACGCUGGAUGGUUUACAUAGAAAAGGAGAUUAUGAAAGGAUAAAAGGGCCUUUCUGCUUCUAGCAUGGUGUCGCCAGGAACGAGGACAGCGAAAUCCUGACGAGCACGGGACUGUGCCUGUCGCUGAGGCAGCCAGAGAGGGGACCGGCGCACAGGCGGCCAGGGCCAGAGCAGCAGGUUGUGCGACCCACCGCCCUUCGCCACAGGGAAGCAGCCCUGAGCUAGUCGGGAGUCCUGGCAAAGACCGAGAAGCUGUCUCAGGAGGCCAGUGUCUCCGCUCUCACUUCCGAGUGCAGGAUCCCUUGGCGCCUCCUAGUACUACCGUGCCCUGUUAUCUAGGUCACAGGACGCUACAGUGACCCGACCGGGUCAAUGACAAGGCCCAGGACCUCUGGAAGUGAAGAAAGAUAUGGGUCAUCGCUGCAGGGGACGAACGAACGAGACCUGCCAACGUGCUUGCGGAAGGCCGGGAAAUACAGAAUCAGAGUAAAAGGUAGUCGUAAACACCUCAGGAGCAGUUACAGAAGUGAGGAUUGUGAGCUGGGCGUGGUGGCCCAGGCCUGUAAUCUCUGGACUCAGGAGGCUGAGGCAGGAGGAUCGCCAUGAGUUCGAGCCCAACCUGGGCUACAUCGUGAGCUCAAGCAUCCUGAGACACAACUCGGCACGGCUAACAGCUCGGCUGCUUCCUGUGACAUCCUCGGGGGCUCAUUCGGGAUCCCUAGGAGGAGGGAGGACCCCACUCGGAACUUUACAUUUCACAGUGAGGUGCUGCUACAUCAUGAUGCGGCCCGUCUGUUACUGCCUGUUCCUCAUGAAAUGCUACUUGCAAUGUGUAAGACUUGUUACACACACACUACGCACAAUCGAUCUCAUUCACCGUUUGUGGCACCAGCCUGUCACAGAUUUUUGUUGUUGUUCCCUUGCCAGCAGGUAUGAUUUAAAGGAAUAGGAGACUUUUUUUUUUCUUUUUUUUUGAGGCAGGGUCUCCCUUUGUAGCUCAGGCUGGCUCUGAACUCACUGUGUAGCCCAGGCUGGCCUCGAACUCAAAGCAAUCCUCCUGCCUCAGCCUCCCAAGUGCUGGGAUUACAGGCACGUGCCACCACACCCCGGCUUAAAGGAAUAGGAGACUUUUGACCCUUUUUCUAUAUGGAUAUCUUUGAUGGGUCAUCUCGUCUUUUGUGAGGAAGUCCCCAACUUUAGUCCGCUUCACAUCUGAAUGGGAUUUACUGUGUACUUAGGCCAAAGUAUGAAUCUGUCCCCACUGGCGGCCCUGUCAAAGUUCCUCCAUCUUUGGUGGCUUUGGGCCCUACUGCAUGCUUCCUUCCAGAGGGCAUGUGAGCUACUGAUUGGCUUGCCGCCCACGGCUGGGGCACAACCAAAGAUCCAGAGUCAGGAAAGAGAAUCCUUCUGGGAAUAGGCUGCUUGCUCCUGAAGAUUUCCUGAAAACUGGGAGGCUCAGGACUGGAUCGGAAGUCAAAGAAUGGGAAACUUGACGUCAUCUUCAAAAUCCUUUACUGUCCUCGACCCUGGGAAUUUUUUGAUCCGCAAACCGAAAAGAAGAGCUGCUCCAUCUUCUCUGCCCCAUGCAUGGCCUGACCACCCCUGGAAGAAAAGGAAUGGAGUCAGUGAAGUCAGUGAGGUACUGACCAGCUCUAGCGCUGCUGCAGGUGAAAGGGCAGAUGGCCUGAGGUCCUCUAUUUUCAAGACUUUCCUUGCCCUGAGAGACAAUCCUGAUUUGUGUUUAAAAUGUUUGUGUGAGGAAAAGGAAGCCAGGUACCUUUGGCCCACAAAUCUGACGUGCCCACCAUUCCAGAGGCUGAGGCGCCGCCUGCCUGCCCCGCGUGCUGAGGCUAAAGCCCCCCAGCCACCCCGUUAAGGCUUCUACAGGCGCUGUCCUUUCUCCCCAACCUAACUGAAACCCAGGAGAGCUACAUCCUCUGCAGGAAGUUGGGAGUCUGCCCCCACACCUGUGCCUGUGGUAUUUGCCCUUCUUGAGCUCAAACAAAUUGAACAGGGAUCUGGGUAAAUUUUCAUACGAUUCUGGUAAAUACAUUCAAGUCUUUUCUUCAGCGUUCCGAGACACAGCUGGGCACAUCUAACAGCUCGGGGCUGCUUCCUGUGACACCCAAAAGGAUGGGGGACCACAGCAGGGGCCACACGGGAGUCCACACCCCGGGAGGUCACCGAGGUCACAUGGGAGGUCACACUGGGAGGUCGUGGAGGUCAUAGGGAGGUCACACAGAGGCCACACCGGGAGAUCACAGAGGUCACACGGGAGGUCACACCGGGAGGUCAUAGGAGGAGCCACACCAGGAGGCCACACCGGCCAGCUGUGCCAUGCAAGCUGAGGCCUGGGCCUUUGGCCUGCUGACCGAGAGCCUCCCGGCUCCUCCCAGGGCCAGCCCGGCAGAGCCUGAGAGCAGCUUGGCUCUGUGGCUGGAG